rnacentral:lncRNA from 1 species
CUUGGGCCUUAAUUAACCUGAACUUGAAGUUCCCCGGGUUCAUUCAAGCUCAAGUAAUAGGUAUUAUUAGAUAAGGCCUUCUUAUGAGAUUUGUCUUUUUAAAAUUAUGUUGAUUUGAGUUUUUGUGUAAUAUGUAGUGACUGUUUUGCAUUUGUUCUGUUUUACGAGGACUAUUGCUAUUGAUUAUCGAACUCAACUUCAAUCUCGAGUUAUUUAGGUACUUUUUGUUAGUACUUUAUUUAUUUCAAAUUAUUUUUUUUGUUUUGCGAGGACUAAUACUGUUGACUAUCGGGUUUAAUUUUAAGCUCAAGUUAUUAGGGUAUUAGUAGUUAUGGCCGUAUGUUGUACUUUGUCUUUUCAAAAUUAUGCUAAUUUGAAUUUUGGAGUAAUGGAGUUGUGACCUAGUUGCAUUUAUUUUGUUUAGUGAGGACUAUUGCUAUGAACUAUCGUAACUCAAGUGGGCUUGAUACCGUGCUAUAACGAUAGCCUAGGCCCAAGGACUCUCAAUCCAUAUCUCCACGCCUUGAAUGUUGUGGUACGGAACGUGGCUUGAAAAUUUUUGUAUAUUUAUCUUGCGCCUUAAUUAAACUGGAACUUGAAGUUCACCGGGGUUCAAUUCAAGCUCAGUUAAUUAGGUAUUAUAGACCAAGGCCUUAUGUUGUAACUUUGUCUUUUUAAAUUAUUAUGUGAUGAGUUUUGUGUAAUAUGUAGUGGACUGUUUUGCCUUUGGUUUGUUUUCGGAGGACUAUGGCUAUUGACUACCGGGUUCACUUCAAUCUCGAGGUUAUUUAGGUACUUUUUGGUUAGUAUUUUAUGUGGUUUUUUAUUUAUAGCAUUGAUUUCUACUGUUUGAGUAACGAGUAAGUGACUCUUUGGGUGCAUUUUUUUGUUUUGCGAGGAGUAAUUAUGUGGACUAUCGGGUUAAUUUUCAAUCUCAAGUUAUUAGUGUAUUAGUAGUAUGCCCGUAGUAUGUUGUACUGUCUUUUCAAAUUAUUGCUAAUUUGAAUUUUUGGUAAUGAGUGUGACUAUUUUGCAUUAUUUUGUAUAGUGAGGACUAUUGCUAUUGACUAUCGGGACUCAAAGGGUUGUACGCGUUGAUAAUAGCGAUGCUAGGCCCAAAGUAGCCUCAAUUCCAUAUCUCCACGCCUUUGAAUGUUGUGUACGUAACUGUGCCUUUAAUUUGCUAAUUUGUCUUGGGCCUUAAUUAACCUUGAACUGAAGUUCCCCGGGUUCAAUUUCAAGCUUCACAGUUAAUAGGUAUAUGAAGACAAAAGGCCUUUUGUUGUACUUUGGGUUUUUUAAAAUUAUGCUGAUUUGAGUUUUUGUGUAAUAUGUAGGGGACUGUUUGGCAUUUGUUCUGUUUUGCGAGGAAUAUGCUAUUGACUACCGGAUGGAAUUCAACUUCUAAGCUCGAGUUAUUAGGUACCUUUUUGUUAGUACUUAUGUUGUUUUUUUUAUUUAUAGCAUGAUUUAAUGUUUGGAGUAAACGAGUAGUGAUGCUUUGCAUUUUUUUUGUUUUGCAGAGGAGUAAUAAGUUGACUAUCGGUUAAUUUCAAUCUCAAGUUAUUAGUGUAUAGUAGUUAUGGCCGUUUGUUGUACUUUGUCUUUUUCAAAUUAUGCUAAUUUGAAUUUUUGGGUGGUAAUGAGUUGUGGAACUAUUUUGCAUUAUUUUGGUUGUUCCCUUGGGAACUAUUGCUAUGAAUAUGGGACUCGCAAGUGGGGUACCGUGCUAAUAGCGAUCCCUAGGCCCAAGUACGCUCAAAUCCAUAUCUCCACGCCUUUUUGAAUGUUGUGGACUUAAAUGUGCUGUUAAAUUUUGUAUAUUUAUCUUGGGCCUUUAAUAACUUCUAAUUGAAGUGCCCCGGGGUUCAAUUUCAAGCGAUAGUUAAUUAGGUAAUUGUUCGACAGCCUACUAAUGUGUAAUUUCUCUGUUUAAAAUUUAUGCUGUGAUAAUUGUGAUUUGAUUGAAUUUUUGUGUAAUAUGUAGUGACUGUGGUUUGCAUUUGUUGUUCUGUGAGGGACUAUUGUAUUGACUUACCAGCUUCAACUUCAGCUCGAGUUAUUUAGGUACUUGUGUUAGUUACUUUAUGUUGUUUUGUAGUUUAUAGAAUGUUUAAUGUUGCGUAACGAGUCGGAUGAUUUGCGUUUUUUUUUUUUGUUGCGAGGACUAAUACUGUUGACUAUCGGGUUAAUUUCAAGCUCAAGGUAAUUAGGGUAUAGUAGUUAUGGCGUAUGUUGUACUUUGUCUUUUUCAAAUUAUGCUAAUUUGAAUUGUUGAGUUAAUGGAGUUGUGACUUAUUUUGCAUUUAUUUUGUUUAGUGAGGACUAUGCUAUUGGAAUAUUGUGACUCAAGGCGGUUUGGUACCGUGACUAAUAGCCGAUGCCUAGGCCAAGUAGUAACUCUCAAAUCCAUAUUCGCGCCUUUGAACUGUGCGUGGUACGUAAUUGUGGUUUUAAAUUUGAAUUUAUCUGGGCUUUAUAAACCUGAAAUUGAAGGUCCCCGGGGUUUAAUUUCAAGCUCAAGUUAAUUAGGUAUUAUUAGACAAGGACCCUUAUGUUGUACUUUGUCGUUUUUAAAAUUAUGUGAUUGAGUUUUUGUGUAUAUGUAGUGACUGUUUUGCAUUUGUCUGUUUUGCGAGGAUAUUGCUAUUGGACUACGGAUUCAUUCAACUUCAAGCUAGAGUUAUUUAGGGACUUUUGUUAGUACUUUAGGUGUUAUUUAGUUUUAUAGCAUGAUUUAACGUUUGAGUACGAGUACUGAUGCUUUCACUUUUUUGUUUUGCGAGGACUAAUACUGUUGACUAUCGGGUUUAAUUUCAAGCUCAAGUUAUUAGGGUAUUAGUAGUUAUGGCCGUAUGUUGUACUUUGUCUUUUUCAAAUUAUGCUAAUUUGAAUUUUUGAGUAAUGAGUUGUGACUAUUUUGCAUUUAUUUUGUUUAGUGAGGACUAUUGCUAUUGACUAUUGGACUCAAGUGGGUGUACCGUGCUAAUAGCGAUGCCUAGGCCCAAGUACUCUCAAAUCCAUAUCUCCGCGCCUUUGAAUGUUGUGGUACGUAAUUGUGGUUUUAAAUUUUGAAUAUUUAUCUUGGGCCUUAAUUAACCUGAAAUUGAAGGUCCCCGGGUUUAAUUUCAAGCUCAAGUUAAUUAGGUAUUAUUAGACAAGGCCUUAUGUUGUACUUUGUCUUUUUAAAAUUAUGCUGAUUUGAGUUUUUGUGUAAUAUGUAGUGACUGUUUUGCAUUUGUUCUGUUUUGCGAGGACUAUUGCUAUUGACUACCGGAUUCAACUUCAAGCUCGAGUUAUUUAGGUACUUUUUGUUAGUACUUUAUGUUGUUUUUUAUUUAUAGCAUGAUUUUAAUGUUUGAGUAACGAGUACUGACUGCUUUGCAUUUUUUUUGUUUUGCGAGGAGUAAUACUGUUGACUAUCGGGUUUAAUUUCAAGCUCAAGUUAUUAGGGUAUUAGUAGUUAUGGCCGUAUGUUGUACUUUGUCGUUUUCAAAUUAUGCUAAUUUGAAUUUAUUUUGUUUUGUGAGGACUAUUGCUAUUGAUUACCGGAUUCAACUUCAAGCUCGAGUUAUUUAGGUACUUUUUGUUAGUACUUUAUGUUGUUUUUUAUUUAUAGCAUGAUUUUAAUGUUUGAGUAACGAGUAGUGACUGCUUUGCAUUUUUUUUGUUUUGCGAUGAGUACUACUGUUGACUAUCGGGUUUAAUUUCAAGCUCAAGUUAUUUUUAGGGGUAUAGUAUUAUGGCCGUAUGUUGUACUUUGUCGUUUUCAAAUUAUGCUAAUUUGAAUUUAUUUUGUUUUGUGAGGACUAUUGCUAUUGAUUACCGGAUUCAACUUCAAGCUCGAGUUAUUUAGGUACUUUUUGUUAGUACUUUAUGUUGUUUUUUAUUUAUAGCAUGAUUUUAAUGUUUGAGUAACGAGUAGUGACUGCUUUGCAUUUUUUUUGUUUUGCGUAGGACUAAUUCUGUUUGACUUCGGGUUUAAUUUUCAACGCUUCAAGUUUAUUAGUUGUAUUAGUAUUAUGGCCGUCUGUUGUACUUUGUCUUUUCAAAUUUAUGCCUAAUUUGAAUUUUUGGGUAAUGAGUUUGUAACUAUUUUUCCAUUUAUUUUGUUUAGUGAGGAAAAACUAUUGCUAUUGACUAUCGGACCAAGUGGGUGUACCGUGUAAUAGCCGAUGCCCUAGGGCCCAAGUACUCUCAAAUCCAUAUCUCCACGCCUUUGAAUGUUGUUGGUACGUAGACUGUUCUUUUAAAUUUUGUAUAUUUAUCUUGGGCCUUAAUUAACCUGAACUUGAAGUUCCCCGGGUUCAAUUUCAAGCUCAUGUUAAUUAGGUAUUAUUAGACAAGGCCUUAUGUUAAACUUUGUCUUUUUAAAAUUAUGCUGAUUUGAGUUUUUGUGUAAUAUGUAGUGACUGUUUUGCAUUUGUUCUGUUUUGCGAGGACUAUUGCUAUUGACUACCGGAUUCAACUUCAAGCUCGAGUUAUUUAGGUACUUUUUGUUAGUACUUUAUGUUGUUUUUUAUUUAUAGCAUGAUUUUAAUGUUGAGUAUACGGUAGUGACUGCUUUGCAUUUUUUUUGUUUUGCGAGGGUAGACUUUUGACUAUCGAGUUUAAUUUCAAGCUCAAAGUUAUAGGGUAUUGUAGUUAUGGACUAUGUUGUACUUUUCUUUUUUCCCCCAGAUUACGCUAAUUUGAAUUUUUGGUUAAUGAGUUGUGACUAAUUUUGCCAUUAUUUUGUUUAGUGAAGGACUAUUGCUAUUGAAUAUCGGACUCAAAUGGGUGUUACCGUGCUAAUAGCGAUGCCAGGCCCAAGUACGCUCAAAUCCCUAUCUCCGCCGCCUUUGAAUGUGUGGUACGUAUGUGUGGCUGUAAAUUUGAAUUUAUCUUGGGCCUUAAUUAACCAUGAAAUUGAGUUCACCGGGUUCAAUUUCAGCUCACGUUAUUAGGUAGUAUUAGACACGGCUUAUGUUGUACUUUGUCUUCUUAAAAUCAUGCUGCAUUUGAGUUUUUGUGUAAUAUGUAGUGGAAUGUUUUGAAUUGUUCUGUUUUGCGAGGACUAUUGCUAUUGACUACCGGAUUCAACUUCAGGCUCGAGUAUUUAGGUACUUUUUGUAGUACUUUAUGUUGUUUUUUAUUUAUAGCAUGAUUUCAAUGUUGAGAACGCGUCACUGACUGCUUUGACAUUUUUUUGUUUUGCGCGGUAUAAUACUGUUGACUAUCGGUUUAAUUUCAGCUCAAGUAUUAGGGUAUAGUAGUUUUAUGGCCGUAUGGUUGUACUUUGUCGUUUUAAAUUAUGCUAAUUUGAAUUUAUUUUGUUUUGUGAGGACUAUUGCUAUUGUACCGGAGUCCUUUCAAAGCUCGAGUAUUUAGGGGUACUUUUUGUUAGUACUUUAUGUUGUUUUUUAUUUAUAGCAUGAUUUUAAUGUUUGAGUAACGAGUAGUGACUGCUUUGCAUUUUUUUUGUUUUGCGAGGACUAAUACUGUUGACUAUCGGGUUUAAUUUCAAGCUCAAGUUAUUAGGGUAUUAGUAGUUAUGGCCGUAUGUUGUACUUUGUCUUUUUCAAAUUAUGCUAAUUUGAAUUUUUGAGUAAUGAGUUGUGACUAUUUUGCAUUUAUUUUGUUUUAGUGAGGCUAUUGUAUGACUAGAGGCUCAAGUUGGGUGUACGUGGUAAUAGCGGAGCCCUAGGCCCAAGUACUCUCAAUCCAUAUCUCCACGCCUUGAAUGUGUGGUACGUAAUGUGGCUGUAAAUUUGUAUAUUAUCUUGGCCUAAUUUAACCUGAAUUGAAUUGUUUCCCCGGGUUAUAUUUCCAGCCUCAUGUUAAUUAGGUAUUAUUAGACAAGGCCUUAUUGUUAAAAUUUGUCUUUUUAAAAAUUAUGUGAUUUGAGUUUUUGUGUAAGAUGUAGUGACUCGUUGCAUUUGUUCGUUUUGCGAGGACUAUGAUUGACUACCGGAUUCAACUUCAGCUCGAAGUAUUUGGGUACCUUUUUGUUAGUUACUUUAUGUUGUUUUUUAUUAGAGCACAUGAUUUAAUUUGUUUGAGUAAAGAGUAGUGAAUGCUUUGCAUUUUUUUGUUUUGCGAGAGUACUAAUGUUGGACUAUCGGGUUUAAUUUCAAGAUCAAGUUCUAGUGUAUUAGUGUUAUGGCCGUAUGUUGUACUUUGUCGUUUUCAAAUUAUGACUAAUUUGAAUUUUGGGGUAAUGAGUUGUGACUAUUUUG